GUUUGAUGAAUAAGUGAAUUUGGGGUGUCUUGUUAUCCCAUGUGGGAUGGACCAAAUGUUUUGCAUGACACAGAAAUAAAAUAAAACUAGAACUAACUAAAACUAUGAAAUUGAUAAU